GAUGAACGCUGGCGGCGUGCCUAAUACAUGCAAGUCGAGCGAACAGACGAGGAGCUUGCUCCUCUGACGUUAGCGGCGGACGGGUGAGUAACACGUGGAUAACCUACCUAUAAGACUGGGAUAACUUCGGGAAACCGGAGCUAAUACCGGAUAAUAUAUUGAACCGCAUGGUUCAAUAGUGAAAGACGGUUUUGCUGUAACUUAUAGAUGGAUCCGCGCCGCAUUAGCUAGUUGGUAAGGUAACGGCUUACCAAGGCAACGAUGCGUAGCCGACCUGAGAGGGUGAUCGGCCACUCUGGAACUGAGACACGGUCCAGACUCCUACGGGAGGCAGCAGUAGGGAAUCUUCCGCAAUGGGCGAAAGCCUGACGGAGCAACGCCGCGUGAGUGAUGAAGGUCUUCGGAUCGUAAAACUCUGUUAUUAGGGAAGAACAAAUGUGUAAGUAACUAUGCACGUCUUGACGGUACCUAAUCAGAAAGCCACGGCUAACUACGUG
rnacentral:rRNA from 1 species